GAAUUCAAGAGAAAGUGUGAUGAAUCGGAGGUUUUGCAGGAGUCUAGCUCGAGCACGUUGAAGCUUCAAUAUGAAGCUUCAAUGGUUGCUGAAGAUGAGCUUUGAGUGAGGGUAAUGGAGAAAAGUUGCAGAGAUUCUGAGAGAAAAUUGAGAGUAUUGAUCAGUGUGUGUAAGAAUGAUUGAAUGAGGGUGAAGAGAAAAUUAUAUAGAGAGAAGGUUCAGAUCAAAUGGAGGAUUGGAGUGAGGGUAGGAGUUAGUUAGAUUCAACUCACCGAGUCAACUGCAAACUCAGCUAGUUAUUGAAUUGAACUCAGUGAGAAGUUAGUUAGGUUAAUAAAAUUCUGUUAGUGAAUGAAAAAAUUCAGUGUAAGGAGUUUAACUGUUAAUGAUUGAGUGAAUAUGAGUUCAGUUCAAUUUCUGUUAUAUUGGUGAAAGUUCAGUUAAGUUUAGUUGAAAAAGAAAACAACUAUAUUAGUCAUUAAGUUAUUAGUUGGUGAGAUGAAUUGUUGUUGGAUGGAAAUGUCAGUUCAGUUUAAAGUUAAUGAAGCUUUAUUCUCUAUUAAUGAAAUGAGUUGUUAGAUGUUAAUGUUAAUUGAUUUUCUCAAUUUUAAAAGUUAUGUCAAUUGGUUAGCUCGAUUGUUGUAGGAUUUGUUUGAUGCAGGUCUAGGUGAGGACCUUGAUACAAGUUAGGGGUUGCAGGCUGACUUGUGGAACUAGUUUAACCAUGUUAUUGGGAGCAAAUUGGUGAUUGAACCAUGUGAUUGCAUUCAAACUACAGACCAAGGCAUGCUACAGGCUUUUCCAUUCAAUUUGUUUGUUGCACUCCAACGGUUUCUGCAUGGAUGUGUUGUUGUUUAGAUGCUAUCCAUGUUCUACAUGGUUAUACUAUGGUUGUUUGUUAUGUAAUGCAAAUGAUGUAGUAGUGUAAUGUAUGUUGACUGGCUUGCUCAUGUUGGUGGUUUAAUGCUUGUUCCUGCAGGUUCAUGCUUGUGUAACAGUAUGAUUGGUAAGUAUGUGUGGAUUGCAGCAUCUAUGUGUGUGUUUAGGUCCUGAUGCAGGUUGAGCAUGUGUAGAACAACGAAAAUUGGUUUGGAUUGAACAAGAUGCUAGCCAUGAUGAAUAUACAUGCUGCUACUACAUUGUGAAUGAUGUUGAACUGAACUCAUGUUAACCAUUUCCCUGCUGUUGAUUGUUGUUGUUUUGUAGGUCUACUGUAGAAUUUUGGAAGGCUUUUUGUCAUUUGUAUUGCAUAUGGCUGCUUAGAUCAUGAAUAUGUGCAUGUAUGUGUUCAUGUUAGUUGUUAUCUUUUAUGAAAUAUGGGAUAGGUUAGGCAUAAUCUUCGAAUGUAUGCUUGGUUUGAUCUUGUUUGGAUUGAUGGCUGCAUGAUUUUAGUGCAAGGCCUAUUUUAGUGCAAGGCCUGGUUUGUGUGAUUGGUCAUGGUUGCAAGGAAAAAUCUAAAUGUAUUGAAAGCAUGAGCAAAUUCAAGGCAUGACAAACUUGGUGCAAAAUGGCUUUCUUGACAUGAAGCAAUAUGGUGAUAAAAUCUCAUGAAAUAAUGCAAGAGUGAAUAUGUAAUGCACAUUAGUGUUUAGAUUAUGGAAAAAAGGUUGGUUGACCAAAAAAUCAACAGUUGACCAAAAGUCAACCUUUGUAAAAAUUGCAUUUUUUGCAUUUCCUUUUGUAAUUGACAAUGUAAAUGCUAUUUUAAUGAUUGAAUAAUCAUUUACUUGAAUGAAAUGAUCCAGGAUUAAAUGUUAAACAAAAUGUCUUCAAAAAAUGAAUUUUACUUGAAAAUCCAA
rnacentral:lncRNA from 1 species